ensembl:snRNA U6 U6 spliceosomal RNA
GUGCUCAUUUCAGAAAGUAUAUAUAUUAAAAUUGGAAAAUACAGAGAAGAUUAGCAUGGCCCCUGAGCAAAGAUUGCAAGCAAAUUCAUGAAUAAUAGAAAACAUAA